rnacentral:rRNA from 1 species
AACGAACGCUGGCGGCAUGCCUAACACAUGCAAGUCGAACGAGACCUUCGGGUCUAGUGGCGCACGGGUGCGCAACGCGUGGGAACCUGCCCUUAGGUUCGGAAUAACUCCCCGAAAGGGGUGCUAAUACCGGAUAAUGUCUUCGGACCAAAGAUUUAUCGCCUUUGGAUGGGCCCGCGUUGGAUUAGCUAGUUGGUAGGGUAAAAGCCUACCAAGGCGACGAUCCAUAGCUGGUCUGAGAGGAUGAUCAGCCACACUGGGACUGAGACACGGCCCAGACUCCUCCGGGAGGCAGCAGUGCGGAAUGUGGGACGAUGGGCGAAAGCCUGAUCCAGCAAUGCCGCGUGAGUGAUGAAGGCCUUAGGGUUGUAAUGCUCUUUUGCCCGGGAUGAUAAUGAGAGUGCCGGGAGAAUGAGCUCCGGCUGACUCCGUG